rnacentral:rRNA from 1 species
UACGUAGGGUGCGAGCGUUAAUCGGAAUUACUGGGCGUAAAGCGUGCGCAGGCGGUUUUGUAAGCCAGAUGUGAAAGCCCCGGGCUUAACCUGGGAACUGCACUUGUGACUGCAAGGCUGGAGUACGGCAGAGGGGGAUGGAAUUCCGCGUGUAGCAGUGAAAUGCGUAGAUAUGCGGAGGAACACCGAUGGCGAAGGCAGGUCUCUGGGCCAAUACUGACGCUCAUGCACGAAAGCGUGGGGAGCAAACAGG